UACAGGGGGGCAAGCGUUGUUCGGAAUUACUGGCGUAAAGGGGUUGUAGGCGGCCAACUAAGUCCGACGUGAAAUCCCAAAGCUUAACUUGGAACUGCGUCGGAUACUGGAUGGCUUGAAUUCGGGAGAGGGAUGCAGAAUUCCAGGUGUAGCGGUGAAAUGCGUAGAUAUCUGGAGGAACACCGGUGGCGAAGGCGGCAUCCUGGACCAAUUCUGACACUGAGGAGCGAAAGCCAGGGAGCAAACGGG
rnacentral:rRNA from 1 species